GACGAACGCUGGCGGUGUGCUUCACACAUGCAAGUCGAACGAGGUUGCAAUACCUAGUGGCGGACGGGUGAGUAACGCGUGGGAAUCUGCCUUUAGACGGGGGAUAACGAGCCGAAAGGUUCGCUAAUACCGCAUAUGCCGCAAGGUGAAAGGAGUAAUCCGUCUGAAGAUGAGCCCGCGUCCGAUUAGCUAGUUGGUGGGUAAAGCCUACCAAGGCGACGAUCGGUAGCUGGUCUGAGAGGAUGAUCAGCCACAAUGGGACUGAGACACGGCCCAUACUCCUACGGGAGGCAGCAGUGGGGAAUUUUACGCAAUGGGGGAAACCCUGACGUAGCGACACCGCGUGAGCGAAGAAGCCCCUUGGGUGUAAAGCUCUGUCAGCUGGAACGAAACAAAUGACGGUACCAGCAGAGGAAGCAUCGGCUAACUACGUGCCAGCAGCCGCGGUAAU
rnacentral:rRNA from 1 species